AGUGAACGCUGGCGGUAGGCCUAACACAUGCAAGUCGAACGGCAGCACAGUAAGAGCUUGCUCUUACGGGUGGCGCGUGGCGGACGGGUGAGGAAUACAUCGGAAUCUACUUUUUCGUGGGGGCUAACGUCGGGAAACUUACGCUAAUCCCGCAUAUGACCUACGGGUGAAAGCAGGGGAUCUUCGGACCUUGCGCGAUUGAAUGAGCCGAUGUCGGAUUAGCUAGUUGGCGGGGUAAAGGCCCACCAAGGCGACGCUCCGUAGCUGGUCUGAGAGGAUGAUCAGCCACACUGGAACUGAGACACGGUCCAGACUCCGACGGGAGGCAGCAGUGGGGAAUAUUGGACAAUGGGGGCAAGCCUGAUCCAGCCAUACCGGGUGGGUGAAGAAGGCCUUCGGGUUGGAAAGCCCUUUUGUUGGGAAAGAAAAGCAGCAGGUUAAUACCCCGCGGUUCUGACGGUACCCAAAGAAUAAGCACCGGCUAACUUCGUG
rnacentral:rRNA from 1 species